CUCCACUCUCAAUCAUCUUUUUCUUCAUGGAAAUAGGUAAUUGUCUGUGUGCCUGCCCGUCUGCCUGUGUGUGACUGUCUGCCUGUUACUAAGUGUGUGUGAAAAUGUCUGUCUGUAACUGUGCAUGUGUGACUGUCUGCCUGUAACUGUGUGCGUGUGUGUGAGGGGGGCAGAGGUUUUGUAUAAGGGGGGCUGAGCAGGUGAUUUGUGGAAUGGGAAUGCAGAGGUUUGUAGAAGGGGGCUAACAGGGG